GAUGAACGCUAGCGGCAGGCUUAAUACAUGCAAGUCGUGGGGCAGUAUGAGUGUAGCAAUACAUUUGAUGGCGACCGGCAAGCGGGUGCGGAACACGUACAGAACCCUCCUUCAAGCGGGGCAUAGCCCAGAGAAAUUUGGAUUAAUACCCCAUAAUAUAAUGAAGAGGCAUCUCUUUGUUAUUAAAGAUUUAUCACUUGAAGAUGGCUGUGCGGCUGAUUAGGUAGUUGGCGGGGUAACGGCCCACCAAGCCUGCGAUCAGUAACUGGUGUGAGAGCACGACCAGUCACACGGGCACUGAGACACGGGCCCGACUCCUACGGGAGGCAGCAGUAAGGAAUAUUGGUCAAUGGACGCAAGUCUGAACCAGCCAUGCCGCGUGGAGGAUGAAGGUCCUCUGGAUUGUAAACUUCUUUUAUAUGGGACGAAAAAAGGCUUUUCUAAGUCGUCUGACGGUACCAUAUGAAUAUGCACCGGCUAACUCCGUGCCAGCCGCCGCUGUAAAAC
rnacentral:rRNA from 1 species